rnacentral:rRNA from 1 species
AGCGAACGCUGGCGGCAGGCCUAACACAUGCAAGUCGAACGAAGUCUUCGGACUCAGUGGCGGACGGGUGAGUAACACGUGGGAACGUGCCUUUAGGUUCGGAAUAACUCAGGGAAACUUGUGCUAAUACCGAAUGUGCCCUUCGGGGGAAAGAUUUAUCGCCUUUAGAGCGGCCCGCGUUUGAUUAGCUAGUUGGUGAGGUAAAGGCUCACCAAGGCUACGAUCAGUAGCUGGUCUGAGAGGAUGACCAGCCACAUUGGGACUGAGACACGGCCCAAACUCCUACGGGAGGCAGAAGUGGGGAAUCUUGCGCAAUGGGCGAAAGCCUGACGCAGCCAUGCCGCGUGGAUGAUGAAGGUCUUAGGAUUGUAAAAUCCUUUCACCGGUGAAGAUAAUGACUGUAGCCGGAGAAGAAGCCCCGGCUAACUUCGUGCCAGCCGCCGCCGUAAUAC